UCAUGCAACAACAAAGUGAGUACAUUUAUUAUAAAGUAUUUUGGUAAUUUACAUAGCAAUGUCUUAUUUUUAUUUCAUAUAUUAAACAUAUGUUAUUGUAGGUUUGGAUGAUCAAGCAAAUACUCGACGACAUCGAUUACCUUUUUCCAUUGAUCUAAACCAAACAAUAACAGAUGAAAUAGACCAUAUAGAUGAUAAAAUUUGUGGAGAUCAACCAUCAAUGGCCAAUGUUAUCCCCACUCAGACAUUUCAACAAGCCAAUCCAGUUUUAAAUGAUCAACAAAUACAUGAAGAACAUAUGUUGCCCUUUCCUACGGAUCUUAACCAAACAACAACAAUGGAUGCAAUGCAAACUAG